UUUUUGAGUUUUUUAAACUUGGCUCAGGACGAACCGCUGGCGGCGUGCUUAACACAUGCAAGUCGAACGGUGAUGAUGGGAGCUUGCUUUCAUCUGAUCAGUGGCGAACGGGUGAGUAACACGUGAGUAACCUGCCCCAGACUCUGGAAUAACUUCGGGAAACCGGAGCUAAUACUGGAUAUGAAACAGAUCCGCAUGGGUACUGUUUGGAAAGUUUUUCGGUUUGGGAUGGACUCGCGGCCUAUCAGCUUGUUGGUGAGGUAAUGGCUCACCAAGGCGACGACGGGUAGCCGGCCUGAGAGGGCGACCGGCCACACUGGGACUGAGACACGGCCCAGACUCCUACGGGAGGCAGCAGUGGGGAAUAUUGCACAAUGGGCGAAAGCCUGAUGCAGCGACGCCGCGUGAGGGAUGACGGCCUUCGGGUUGUAAACCUCUUUCAGCAGGGAAGAAGCGAAAGUGACGGUACCUGCAGAAGAAGCACCGGCUAACUACGUGCCAGCAGCCGCGGUAAUACGUAGGGUGCGAGCGUUGUCCGGAAUUAUUGGGCGUAAAGAGCUUGUAGGCGGUUUGUCGCGUCUGCCGUGAAAUUUCGAGGCUCAACCUCGAACUUGCGGUGGGUACGGGCAGACUAGAGUGUGGUAGGGGAGACUGGAAUUCCUGGUGUAGCGGUGAAAUGCGCAGAUAUCAGGAGGAACACCGAUGGCGAAGGCAGGUCUCUGGGCCACUACUGACGCUGAGAAGCGAAAGCAUGGGGAGCGAACAGGAUUAGAUACCCUGGUAGUCCAUGCCGUAAACGUUGGGAACUAGGUGUGGGUCUCAUUCCACGAGAUCCGUGCCGCAGCUAACGCAUUAAGUUCCCCGCCUGGGGAGUACGGCCGCAAGGCUAAAACUCAAAGGAAUUGACGGGGGCCCGCACAAGCGGCGGAGCAUGCGGAUUAAUUCGAUGCAACGCGAAGAACCUUACCAAGGCUUGACAUAUGCGAGAACGCGGCAGAGAUGUCGUUCUCUUUGGACACUCGUAUACAGGUGGUGCAUGGUUGUCGUCAGCUCGUGUCGUGAGAUGUUGGGUUAAGUCCCGCAACGAGCGCAACCCUCGUUCUAUGUUGCCAGCACGUGAUGGUGGGGACUCAUAGGAGACUGCCGGGGUCAACUCGGAGGAAGGUGGGGAUGACGUCAAAUCAUCAUGCCCCUUAUGUCUUGGGCUUCACGCAUGCUACAAUGGCCGGUACAAAGGGCUGCGAAACCGCGAGGUGGAGCGAAUCCCAAAAAACCGGUCUCAGUUCGGAUUGGGGUCUGCAACUCGACCCCAUGAAGUCGGAGUCGCUAGUAAUCGCAGAUCAGCAACGCUGCGGUGAAUACGUUCCCGGGCCUUGUACACACCGCCCGUCAAGUCACGAAAGUCGGUAACACCCGAAGCCGGUGGCCCAACCCUUGUGGAGGGAGCUGUCGAAGGUGGGACUGGCGAUUGGGACUAAGUCGUAACAAGGUAGCCGUACCGGAAGGUGCGGCUGACCACCCCUCCUUAAAAC
rnacentral:rRNA from 1 species